ensembl:lncRNA
CCCAGACCCCAACCCCCAAUCUCAGCCCCACUGAAUCCCACCUCCCCCCACCCCCCCAGACCCUUUCAGCCCCAUUGAACUGCCACCUCUGCCCCCCCAGACACCCUUAGCCACGUCUCCCCCCCAGACACACUUUAGGGUCACACUUUGCAGCCCAACCCCCACGACAGUGGGGUGGGGACCCCCAGCUCUGUUCCCCCUCCCCCCCCCUCCUAACCCCAACGCAGCAUUUCACGACCACCAAUUAAUUCGUUCAUCAUCGCAUUAACGCGGAGCAGCGGGGAGGGGGGACACAACCAAAGGGAUUCCACGCGCUUCCCCCCUCCAACCCCCCAAAACGAUCCACUGCAAUUCGGGACGGAGCCCCGGGGCCGAACCCCAGGACCGGGGGGCUUCUCUUAAAGUCACGAAACCGCCCCAAAAAAAGCCCCCCAAAGCCCCGAAAAGCCGUGAAAAGUGAAAGCGGGAGGAGCGCCGAAGCGCCGCCGCUGUGCAGUAAUAAUUCAGGAACGCUCCAUUUUCCUGCAUAGCAUUACCCGGAGGUCCAACCCCCCCCGGCAUAAUAUGCAGCGGGAGGAGCCGGGGGUGGGCUCUGCUCCGGCGGCCCCACAGCACCGCUGGGAGGGGGCUGCGCUUCGGGUUUGGGGCUGCAAAAAGGGGCUGGGGGCUGCAGGGAGGGGGCUGAGGGUUCCCAUCCUAUAAAGGCUGCAGGAGGUGCUGGGGGUUCUGGUCCUAUAAAGGCUGCGAGGGGGGGCUUGGGGUUCCCAUCCUAUAAAGGCUGCAGGAGGUGCUGGGGGUUCUGGUCCUAUAAAGGCUGCGAGGGGGGGCUUGGGGUUCCCAUCCUAUUAAGGCUGCAGGAGGGUUGGGGGUUCUGGUGUUAUAAAGGCUGCAAGAAGGUCUGGGGGUUCCAACCCUAUAAAGGCUACCGGGAGGAGGGGGGGGGGGGGGGCAUCGUAUAAAGACUGCGGGGGGGGGGGGGGUGCUCAGGUCCUAUAAAUGCCACAGGAAAGUUGGGGGUUCCCAUUCUAUAAAGGCUGCAGGGAGGGCUGAGGGUUCCCAUCCUAUUAAGGCUGCAGGAGGGUUGGAGGUCUGAUCCUAUAAAGGCUGCAGGAGGGGCUGGGGAUUCCCAUCCUAUAAUGGCUGCAGGGGGGGCUGGGGGUUCCAACCCUAUAAAGACUUUGGGGGGGGGGGGGGGGGGGGGAGGCUCUGGUCCUAUAAAGGCUGCAGGAAGGUUGGGGGGUUCUGGUCAUAUAAAGGCUGCUGGGGGGGUGGGGGUUCCCAUCCUAGUAAGGCUGCAGGAGGGUUGGGGGUCUGAUCCUAGUCUGAUCUGGUUGACCAACAUUUGACCAACGGUUGGCCACAGAUUCACCAUGAGCCAGCAGCAUGUCCUGGUGGCCCAGAAGGCCAAUGUUGUCCUGGCUGACCAGUGGUUGACCAGCAGUUGACUAACAGUUGGCCAAUAGUUGACCGUGAGCCAGCAGUAUGCCCUGGUGGCCUAGAAGGCCAAUGGUGUCCUGGUUGACCAAUGGUUCACCAACAAUUGCCCAAUGAAUGACCAGUUUGACCAGUGGUGAGCCAGCAGCGUGUCCUGGUGGCCCAGAAAGCCAAUGUUGUCCUGGUUGGCCAAUGGUUCACCAACGGUUGACUAACAGUUGACCAAUAGUUGACCAAUAGUUGACGAAUGGUUGACCAGCAGUUGACCAGUGGUUGACCAUGAGGCAGCAGUGUGCCUUGAUGACCAAGAGCACCAAUGUUGUCCUGGUUGGCCAGUGGUUCACCAUCAGUUGAGUAACACUUGACCAACAGUUGACCAACAGUUGACCAACAGUUGACCAAUGGUUGACCAAUAGUUGACCAUGAGGCAGCAGUGUGCCUUGAUGACCAAGAGCACCAGUGUUGUCCUGGUUGGUCAGUGGUUCACCAUCAGUUGAGUAACACUUGACCAACAACAGUUGACCAAUAGUUGACCAAUGGUUGACCAGUAGUUAACCAGUAGUUGACCACGAGCCAGCAGCGCGCCUGUUGGCCAAGAAGGCCAAUAGUUCCCCGGUGGGCACAUCACAGAGCAUAGCCAGCAGGGCAGGGAGGUGCUCCCCACCUCUGCUCUGCACUGGGGGAGCCCCAUCUGGAGCACUGGGCCACAUUUCCAUCCAUAAUCGCAUCGGAUCCAUUGAAGCACCCCAUCUGCACACAGCUGUUAUUAGAGACCGCCGCGUGGUUCUGCUGAGAGCCCGCUUUGCAUACGCUGCGCUGCGAUUAUGAAUAUUUAAACACUUCCAUCUAGUUAAAUUUCUGCCUCAUUUACAUACAUUGGCAUACUGCUUAAUAUAAUGCAUAUGGGGAAGAGGGUGCGCGUUGCAUUUUUAAUUCCCCUUCGAGAGGAAUUGAUUUUACGAGUGCUGAAAAGAUUUCUUUUCCUACAGGAAAACAACUUGUUGGAGGUGGGGGGAGGGGGGAGUGGGGUGUUAAUUAACUGUUUGAUGGGAAAAGCUGGCAGAACUCGAGUGGUGUUGGCUGCACCUUCCUCUCCUUUGCUCCUCUUGCUGAUUCGUCUGCAGAAAUCACACACAGCGCCAGGGCAGGGGAGGGUUUGCAGCUGACCAUGUGGAUUCUGGCACAUCUGAUUUGCUAUAAAACGUUCCCAGCCCUGCAAAGGGACAUGCAUGCUGCACAGCAGCUUGUUCUGUGUGUUCCCAGAACUCAGUGAUGGGCAUUCCAGAUGUUCCCAGAACUCAACAAUUGGUAUUCCAGAUGUUGAACAUGCAGGGAGAAGCGCGCCAGACUGCUCUUGGCUUCCGUGCUGCCACACAAACUUCCAUGAAGCUGACCCUAAAUGCAGCUUUUAGUCCUUUUUUGAAGGUUCUCUCCCCCAUCACGUUGGAGGCAAUGAGGAAAUGGCCACGUGGUGCUGAGCUCUGCUGGGUUGAUCUCCAGCGUGGCCAAUCUGCAGCGCGCUCAGCAGCUCCACGUCCCUCCUGCCUCCCAUCACCCACAGGAGCAAAGUUCCACUGGCACAGAUCUGAUCUUGCGGGCACUGAUAGCAGGAACUGAAUUGUUCUGCUUCAAGGAGAGAUCUGUGGGCUGCAGGAGGCUGUGGUGAUGCUCAGAAGCUGCCUGGGCUUUAAGGACCUUUUCAGCCCAAACAUCCUAUGGUUCUGUGACCUUUCAGGACCCUUCCAAUCCAACCAGUCCUUGGUUCUAUGAUCUUUCAGGACCCAUCCUAACCAACCAUCCUAUGGUUCUAUGAUCUUUCAGGACUCUCUCAACCCAACCAUCCCACGCUUCUAUGAUCUUCAAGGACCCUUCCAACCCAACCAUUCCAUGGUUCUAUGAUCCUUAAAGACCCUUCAAACCCGUUCUAUGGGUCGAUGAUCUUUCAGAACUGUUUCAACCCAAUCAUCCCAUGGCUCUAUGAUCUAUAAGGGCCCUUCCAACCCAUUCCAUGAUUCUAUGAUCUUUCAGGACCCUUCCAACCCAUCCUAUGGCUCUAUGAACUUUAAAGACCCUUCCAACCCAACCAUCCUAUGGUGCAGUGACCUUCAAGGACCCCUCCAACCCAGCCAUUCCAUGCUUCUAUGAUCUUUCAGGACCCUUCCAGCCCAAACAUCCUAUGGUUCUAUGAUCUUUCAGGACCCUUCCAGCCCAACCAUCCUAUGGUUCUUUGUUCUUUCAGGACCCUUCCAGCCCAACCAUCCUAUGACUCUGUGAUCUUUCAGGACCCUUCCAACCCAUUCUAUGGUUCUAUGACCUUUCAGGACCCUUCCAACCUAACCAUCCAAUGGCUCUGUGCUCUUUCAGAACCCUUCCAACCGUUCCUAUGCCUCUCUGAUCUUUAAGCCCUGCUUUCACCCACCCCACCCCGUAGCGCCCGGGGCACGCUUCCAGCCAUUCUCCCACUUCGAAGGGUAAAUACAGCUCUAUCCCAACACACAUAUGUGUACUUUGCAGCUCUGGCAGUGCUGCUGCGACCCGCAGAGCUCUUCCCGUUGCAUUAUUCACGAGUCCUCCCAGGCACGGCAGCCAGCUGCAUAUUCAUCAGCAGUGCUACAUUAUUCACGAAGCGUUGGCUUACACCGGGGGGAAACACAAUGCCAGCACGGAAGGCAAAGAGCCGGAGAGAGCAGAGGGCUGCGCCCUGAGACUGCAGAAAAGCCAUAAAAGAGAGCUGGGGGGUCCUCGUUGGGUGUUAGGAGCAAUUUCUCCUCUGGGAGAGUGGUGAUGAGUUGGUUGCCAAGGGGGGUGAGGGGGGUCCGGAGCUCAAAAGGGGGUGGGGAGGGGUCUGGAGCCCCACAUCCAGAGCUCCACAUCCAGAACUGUGCUUCCAAAGGGGGCAGAUUUUCCUAACAGCGUUUGGACCCGAAAUAUCAAAAUGCACUGGAGGUUAUGGCAGGAAACUCCACUCCCACUCUCUACCCCAGCUGGUUGUUUGGGUUUAUUUUUGCUUUAAUUAAGGGUGGUUGGCAGGGCUGUGCUGGAUCGGGCUGGGAAUGGGAUGGUGCUCAGACCCACACACAGCGCCGUGGGGAGCAGCAGUGGGAUGAGGGCCACACAGUGUCCCCAGGGCCACAGAAAAUCCCCCCCCCACUGACUCCUAGGCCUCACCUCUCCCCCACAAAUGAUUCCUG